CCCAAAGAUCUGCCCCCAAAUCCCAAAAUCCCAAAUCCCCAAUCCCCAAAUCCCAAAUCCCUCAGCUGUGCUCGGAGCUGCUCCCCAAUCCCAAAUCCCCAAUCCCAAAUCCCCAAUCUCUCAGAUCUGCCCCCAAAUCCCCAAAAUCCCAAAUCCCUGUUCCCAAAUGCCCAGGUGUGCUCGGAGCUGCCCCCAAAUCCCCAAAAUCCCGAAUCCCCAAUCCCUGUUCCCAAAUUCCCGCAGAUCUGCUCGGAGCUGCUCCCCAAUCCCAAAUCCCCAAUCUCCAAUCCCACUCCCAAUCCCCAAUCCCAAUCCCAAUCCCAAUCCCAAUCCCCAAUCCCCAAUCCCAAUCCCUGUUCCCAAUCCCACUCCCAAUCCCACAGCUGUGCUCGGAGCUGCUCCCCAAUCCCAAUCCCAAAUCCCCAAUCCCAAUCCCCAAUCCCAAUCCCCAAUCCCCAAUCCCCAAUCCCCAAUCCCAAUCCCCAAUCCCCAAUCCCAAUCCCUGUUCUCCAAUCCCACUCCCAAUCCCACAGAUCUGCUCAGAGCUGCUCCCCAAUCCCAAUCCCAACCCCAAUCCCAAUCCCUGUUCCCAAUCCCACUCCCAACCCCACAGCUGUGCUCGGAGCUGCUCCCCACUCCCAAUCCCAAUCCCUGAUCCCAUAUCCCAUAUCCCCCCAGCUGUGCUCGGAGCUGCUCCCCAAUCCCAAAUCCCCAAUCCCAAUCCCAAUCCCAAUCCCCAAUCCCCAUCCCAAUCCCCAAUCUCCAAUCCCACUCCCAAUCCCAAUCCCAAUCCCCAAUCCCCAAUCCCCAAUCCCCAAUCCCCAAUCCCAAUUCCAAUCCCAACCCCAAUCCCAAUCCCGCAGCUGUGCUCGGAGCUGCUCCCCAAUCCCAAUCCCAAUCCCACUCCCAAUCCCACAGAUCUGCUCAGAGCUGCUCCCCAAUCCCUGUUCCCAAUCCCACUCCCAAUCCCAAUCCCUGAUCCCAUAUCCCAUAUCCCCCCAGCUGUGCUCGGAGCUGCUCCCCAAUCCCCAAUCCCAAUCCCAAUCCCAAUCCCCAAUCCCCAUCCCCAACCCCAAUCCCAAUCCCAAUCCCCAAUCCCCAAUCCCUGUUCCCAAUCCCACUCCCAACCCCACAGCUGUGCUCGGAGCUGCUCCCCAAUCCCCAAUCCCAAUCCCAAUCCCCCAGAUCUGCUCGGAGCUGCUCCCCAAUCCCAAUCCCAAUCCCAAUCCCCAAUCCCCAAUCCCACAGAUCUGUUCCCCAAUCCCAAUCCCCAAUCCCCAAUCCCCAAUCCCAAAUCCCCAAUCCCAAUCCCCAAUCCCCAUCCCAAUCCCCAAUCCCAAUCCCAGUCCCACAGAUGUGCUCGGAGCUGCUCCACAAUCCCAAUCCCAACCCCAAUCCCAAAUCCCCAAUCCCCAAUCCCCAAUCCCAAUCCCAACCCCAAUCCCAAAUCCCCAAUCCCCAAUCCCCAAUCCCAAUCCCAACCCCAAUCCCUGCUCCCCAAUCCCCAAUCCCUGUUCCCAAUCCCAAUCCCAAUCCCCAUCCCAACCCCACAGCUGUGCUCGGAGCUGCUCCCCAAUCCCAAUCCCAAUCCCAAAUCCCACAGAUCUGUUCCCCAAUCCCAAUCCCAUAUCCCAUAU
rnacentral:lncRNA from 1 species